UUGAUUACGUCCCUGCCCUUUGUACACACCGCCCGUCGCUACUACCGAUUGGAUGACUUGGUGAGGUCUUAGGACUGGGGUAAUGGAGCUUUAUUAGUUCUUUUGCUCUGGAAAUUUGAUCGAACUACGUUAUCUAGAGGAAGUAAAAGUCGUAACAAGGUUUCCGUAGGUGAACCUGCGGAAGGAUCAUUA
rnacentral:rRNA from 1 species